rnacentral:misc_RNA from 1 species
GAAAUGCGAUAAGUAGUGUGAAUUGCAGAAUUCAGUGAAUCAUCGAAUCUUUGAACGCACGUUGCGCCCCUUGGUAUUCCAUGGGGCAUGUCUGUUCGAGCGUCAUCUACACCCUCAAGCUCUGCUUGGUGUUGGGCGUCUUUGUCCCGCCUCCGCGCGCGGACUCGCCCCAAAUUCAUUGGCAGCGGUCCUUGCCUCCUCUCGCGCAGCACAUUGCGCUUCUCGAGGUGUUGCGGCCCGCGUCCAGAAAGCAAUCGUUACCGUCUUUGACCUCGGAUCAGGUAGGGAUACCCGCUGAACUUAAGC